UACCAACUCUGGUUAAAGAAGUGGAUUAUGAUUUUCAGAACAGGCUCUGUCCUAUAGGACCUCUGUACAGAUCAACAGAGAAGAUCUCCUGGAGGAAGAGCAUUGACUUAAGUCAUGGAACCACCUACCUCUUUCUACUUAAAGGCAUAUUGCAUCUCUUACUUCCUUUUGGCCAAGGGACAAGAGGAAAUAGAAAGAAAAGAAAGGUGUCCGGAGUGUAGCUGUGGACCUGCAUAUUCUCCAGGGCCAAAUGGUGAUUAUGGGGCGUGCUGGAAGCAG
rnacentral:lncRNA from 1 species